ACCUGGCUGGCUUAGUCAGUACAGCAUGAGACUCUUAAUCUCAGGGUUGUGAGUUCAAGCCCCACAUUGCGUG
rnacentral:tRNA from 1 species